UGAACGCUGGCGGCAUGCCUUACACAUGCAAGUCGAACGGUAACGGGCCUUCGGGUGCCGACGAGUGGCGAACGGGUGAGUAAUACAUCGGAACGUGCCCGAUCGUGGGGGAUAACGAGGCGAAAGCUUUGCUAAUACCGCAUACGAUCUACGGAUGAAAGCAGGGGACCGCAAGGCCUUGCGCGGACGGAGCGGCCGAUGGCAGAUUAGGUAGUUGGUGGGAUAAAAGCUUACCAAGCCGACGAUCUGUAGAUGGUCUGAGAGGAUGAUCAGCCACACUGGGACUGAGACACGGCCCAGACUCCUACGGGAGGCAGCAGUGGGGAAUUUUGGACAAUGGGCGCAAGCCUGAUCCAGCCAUGCCGCGUGCAGGAUGAAGGCCUUCGGGUUGUAAACUGCUUUUGUACGGAACGAAAAGCCUUCUUUUAAUACAGGAGGGUCAUGACGGUACCGGAAGAAUAAGCACCGGCUAACUACGUG
rnacentral:rRNA from 1 species